rnacentral:lncRNA from 1 species
ACCGAUCCAAGACACGCUCCCGCCAGCACUGCCCUCCUCCAUCGUCUGUGUCAGCCGGUCCUAGCCCAUCCGUAGGGUGAAAGAACUCACCAAGAGCUUCUUCUGCCCUUGCAAACCCAUAUCAGCUACUUGUAACCAUCUCCAAGGGAUAUGGCAUUGCUCCCUGUCCAUUCAUCUGCAUGAGCUGCUCUUGACUUCCUUAAAGGGUCAAGAAAGCAACUUUUCUGCUUGUCGGAUUUGUUGACGUCAGCUGUGUGAGCCCCAACGUGGGACAAGGGUGUCUCCUUCAUUGCUUAAAGCCUAUUUGUAAGGAUGGGUCAUUCCAGAUGGGGGGGAGCAAGGGCCAGGAUCACUUUUUAAAAAAAAUCACCGCUGGUGACUGGCCCAGAGUGCAGCCACACACCCUCCCUACCCCAUAUAGCAGCCAUUUAGUAAU